GUUUGGGUAGUCUAAACAGACAUCUGAUUUCGACUCAGAAGAACUUACUCUAGUGGGCCCUAACA
rnacentral:tRNA from 1 species